rnacentral:rRNA from 1 species
UACGGAGGGUGCAAGCGUUAUCCGGAUUCACUGGGUUUAAAGGGUGCGUAGGAGGGCAGGUAAGUCAGUGGUGAAAUCCCCGAGCUUAACUCGGGAACUGCCGUUGAUACUAUCUGUCUUGAAUACCGUGGAGAUGAGCGGAAUAUGUCAUGUAGCGGUGAAAUGCUUAGAUAUGACAUAGAACACCAAUUGCGAAGGCAGCUCGUUACACGAAUAUUGACUCUGAGGCACGAAAGCGUGGGGAUCAAACAGG